UACAGAGGGUGCAAGCGUUGUUCGGAAUUAUUGGGCGUAAAGCGCGUGUAGGCGGCUUUUGCAAGUCGGGGUGUGAAAAGCCCCUCAGCUUAACUGAGGAAGUGCGCCCCGAAACUGCAUUGCUUGAGUACCGGAGAGGGUGGCGGAAUUCCCCAAGUAGAGGUGAAAAUUCGUAGAUAUGGGGGAGGAACACCGGUGGCGAAGGCGGCCACCUGGACGGAUACUGACGCUGAGACGCGAAAGCGUGGGGAGCGAACAGG
rnacentral:rRNA from 1 species